CAACAGGGAUUGCCCCAGUAACGGCGAGUGAAGCGGCAACAGCUCAAAUUUGAAAUCUGGCCUUGUGCCCGAGUUGUAAUUUGUAGAGGAUGCUUCUGGCGACGCGCCUUCCGAGUUCCCUGGAACGGGACGCCAUAGAGGGUGAGAGCCCCGUCCGGUCGUGCGCCUAGCCUCUGUGAAGCUCCUUCGACGAGUCGAGUAGUUUGGGAAUGCUGCUCUAAAUGGGAGGUAUACGUCUUCUAAAGCUAAAUACCGGCCAGAGACCGAUAGCGCACAAGUAGAGUGAUCGAAAGAUGAAAAGCACUUUGAAAAGAGGGUUAAAUAGUACGUGAAAUUGCUGAAAGGGAAGCGCUUAUGACCAGACUUGGGCGCGGCGGAUCAUCCGGCGUUCUCGCCGGUGCACUCCACCGCCCCAGGCCAGCAUCAGCUCGCGCCGGGGGACAAAGGCUUCGGGAAUGUGGCUCCCUCGGGAGUGUUAUAGCCCGUUGCGUAAUACCCUGGUGCGGGCUGAGGUCCGCGCUCUGCAAGGAUGC
rnacentral:rRNA from 2 species